GAUGAACGCUGGCGGCGUGCCUAAUACAUGCAAGUCGAGCGAACAGAUGAGAAGCUUGCUUCUCUGAUGUUAGCGGCGGACGGGUGAGUAACACGUGGGUAACCUACCUAUAAGACUGGGGUAACUCCGGGAAACCGGGGCUAAUACCGGAUAAUAUUCUGAACCGCAUGGUUCAAUAGUGAAAGACGGUUUCGGCUGUCACUUAUAGAUGGACCCGCGCCGUAUUAGCUAGUUGGUAAGGUAACGGCUUACCAAGGCGACGAUACGUAGCCGACCUGAGAGGGUGAUCGGCCACACUGGAACUGAGACACGGUCCAGACUCCUACGGGAGGCAGCAGUAGGGAAUCUUCCGCAAUGGGCGAAAGCCUGACGGAGCAACGCCGCGUGAGUGAUGAAGGUCUUCGGAUCGUAAAACUCUGUUGUUAGGGAAGAACAAAUUUGUUAGUAACUGAACAAGUCUUGACGGUACCUAACCAGAAAGCCACGGCUAACUACGUGCCAGCAGCCGCGGUAA
rnacentral:rRNA from 1 species